GUUAUACUGUGACGUUGGUGACUGCCAUCAAGUUUUUUGAUCUAUGUCUUUAAGAAUAAGGGAACCAUACAGUAAUAUUUCGUGGCAGUAGACCGUGGCCUUGUACCCGGAAACUUCAAACGAAAAUAAUUGGUGCCCACCUGGUUUAACCAGGUCAGAAACUUAGGUAAAACGGCGUUGUGGUAAACUU
rfam:Richelia intracellularis HM01, WGS project CAIS01000000 data, contig: 00174